UACCGUAUCGGAUAUUGGGCGUAAGAGCUCGUAGGCGGUUUGUCGCGUCUGCCGUGAAAGUCCGGGGCUCAACUCCGGAUCUGCGGUGGGUACGGGCAGACUAGAGUGAUGUAGGGGAGACUGGAAUUCCUGGUGUAGCGGUGAAAUGCGCAGAUAUCAGGAGGAACACCGAUGGCGAAGGCAGGUCUCUGGGCAUUAACUGACGCUGAGGAGCGAAAGCAUGGGGAGCGAACAGGAUUAGAUACCCUGGUAGUCCAUGCCGUAAACGUUGGGCACUAGGUGUGGGGGACAUUCCACGUUUUCCGCGCCGUAGCUAACGCAUUAAGUGCCCCGCCUGGGGAGUACGGCCGCAAGGCUAAAACUCAAAGGAAUUGACGGGGGCCCGCACAAGCGGCGGAGCAUGCGGAUUAAUUCGAUGCAACGCGAAGAACCUUACCAAGGCUUGACAUGAACCGGUAACGCCUGGAGACAGGUGCCCCGCUUGCGGUCGGUUUACAGGUGGUGCAUGGUUGUCGUCAGCUCGUGUCGUGAGAUGUUGGGUUAAGUCCCGCAACGAGCGCAACCCUCGUUCUAUGUUGCCAGCACGUGAUGGUGGGGACUCAUAGGAGACUGCCGGGGUCAACUCGGAGGAAGGUGGGGACGACGUCAAAUCAUCAUGCCCCUUAUGUCUUGGGCUUCACGCAUGCUACAAUGGCCGGUACAAAGGGUUGCGAUACUGUGAGGUGGAGCUAAUCCCAAAAAGCCGGUCUCAGUUCGGAUUGGGGUCUGCAACUCGACCCCAUGAAGUCGGAGUCGCUAGUAAUCGCAGAUCAGCAACGCUGCGGUGAAUACGUUCCCGGGCCUUGUACACACCGCCCGUCAAGUCACGAAAGUUGGUAACACCCGAAGCCGGUGGCCUAACCCCUUGUGGGAGGGAGCUGUCGAAGUGGGACUGGCGAUUGGGACGAAGUCGUACAGAGGUGUAACCGAAUA
rnacentral:rRNA from 1 species